rnacentral:rRNA from 1 species
UGGGGAAUUGUUCGCAAUGGGCGCAAGCCUGACGACGCAACGCCGCGUGGAGGAUGAAGGUCUUCGGAUUGUAAACUCCUGUUGAUGGGGAAGAACAGGUAUCGGAUGAAUACUCCGGUGCACUGACGGUACCCGUUGAGGAAGCCACGGCUAACUCUGUGCCAGCAGCCGCGGUAAUACAGAGGUGGCAAGCGUUGUUCGGAAUUACUGGGCGUAAAGGGCGCGUAGGCGGCUUUUCAAGUGACGGGUGAAAGCCCUCGGCUUAACCGAGGAACUGCCUGUCAGACUGGAAGGCUUGAGACCGGGAGAGGUGAGUGGAAUUCCCAGUGUAGCGGUGAAAUGCGUAGAUAUUGGGAGGAACACCAGUGGCGAAGGCGGCUCACUGGACCGGAACUGACGCUGAGGCGCGAAAGCGUGGGGAGCAAA